UUACAAGCAACAUGGAUUGUGGACAUAAGAAAGCAGCAGUAGCAGGAAGCCUGUAAGCUGUCAACCUCAGAAACAGGAAAGAAUCUUCUGCCUAGAAACAGACCUGAUGAUUGAUAUGAAUGUAGGAAACUAAGUAUGUGUUUUACCCUGAAUGCUUAUGGGCCAGUGAAAUUCUACACCUGCACAUCUGAGAGGCCUUGAGCCACUCUCAGGUAACAAUAGAUAGAGGCAGAAGUGCUGUGCCAAAAAGACAUGAUGGUAGAGCACUAUCUUACCUUUUUACAAAUAUUUAAAACGUCAUGUUGUCUGGGAAGAGAAGCCAAAUUAAACAUUACCUAACCCUCCAGUGCUUUAGCAUUGGUCACAGAUGUCCUAGAAGAGAACAUGCUGAGGUGCUUCAUGGCCAUAAAGCAAAUGUGUUCCACUUGAUAGUAAAACCACAGCAGGAAGAAGUUCAAACUGGAGUUUGAAGUUAAUACACAAGUUAAUGUGAAAUGCAGCUGUGCAACAUUUCUAGAAUACUAGUACCAGAGAGGAUGUUUCAAUGAAGGGGUGACCUCCAAAGGUCUCAAGGACCAAUGCAUUUAACUAGACAGAAGUGUGUCCAGAAAGAGGAACUGUAAAAGGAAAAUAAACAGUGGUCCUGCAAAUUCAUUCCUUGUAUAUGUCAAAUUACUUAUGCUCUUCAUCAUUUUAGGAGCUUGUGGGGUUUUUUAUUUUUCUAUGUGAUGAGAGAGGCCUGCUUCUGCAUUCUGCUUGAGUGUUACCUUCAAAACAUGAAUGCUGAUUCCCAAACUACAGUUUCUUUCCUUAAGUGGCAUUGAAAAACCAAGGAAGAGCAAAACCAGAAGCAAGAGAGAGUGGAACUCACAGACUGACAAUA